GUUGAGCGCUGAAGGUUGGUACUUGUACCGACUGGAUGAGCAGCGAACGGGUGAGUAACGCGUGGGGAAUCUGCCUUUGAGCGGGGGACAACAUUUGGAAACGAAUGCUAAUACCGCAUAAAAACUUUAAACACAAGUUUUAAGUUUGAAAGAUGCAAUUGCAUCACUCAAAGAUGAUCCCGCGUUGUAUUAGCUAGUUGGUGAGGUAAAGGCUCACCAAGGCGAUGAUACAUAGCCGACCUGAGAGGGUGAUCGGCCACAUUGGGACUGAGACACGGCCCAAACUCCUACGGGAGGCAGCAGUAGGGAAUCUUCGGCAAUGGACGAAAGUCUGACCGAGCAACGCCGCGUGAGUGAAGAAGGUUUUCGGAUCGUAAAACUCUGUUGGUAGAGAAGAACGUUGGUGAGAGUGGAAAGCUCAUCAAGUGACGGUAACUACCCAGAAAGGGACGGCUAACUACGUGCCAGCAGCCGCGGUAAUACGUAGGUCCCGAGCGUUGUCCGGAUUUAUUGGGCGUAAAGCGAGCGCAGGUGGUUUAUUAAGUCUGGUGUAAAAGGCAGUGGCUCAACCAUUGUAUGCAUUGGAAACUGGUAGACUUGAGUGCAGGAGAGGAGAGUGGAAUUCCAUGUGUAGCGGUGAAAUGCGUAGAUAUAUGGAGGAACACCGGUGGCGAAAGCGGCUCUCUGGCCUGUAACUGACACUGAGGCUCGAAAGCGUGGGGAGCAAACAGGAUUAGAUACCCUGGUAGUCCACGCCGUAAACGAUGAGUGCUAGAUGUAGGGAGCUAUAAGUUCUCUGUAUCGCAGCUAACGCAAUAAGCACUCCGCCUGGGGGAGUACGACCGCAAGGUUGAAACUCAAAGGAAUUGACGGGGGCCC
rnacentral:rRNA from 1 species